rnacentral:rRNA from 1 species
CCUACGGGAGGCAGCAGUGAGGAAUAUUGGUCAAUGGACGAGAGUCUGAACCAGCCAAGUAGCGUGAAGGAUGACUGCCCUAUGGGUUGUAAACUUCUUUUAUAUGGGAAUAAAAUGUUCCACGUGUGGGUUUUUGUAUGUACCCUAUGAAUAAGCAUCGGCUAACUCCGUGCCAGCAGCCGCGGUAAUACGGAGGAUCCGAGCGUUAUCCGGAUUUAUUGGGUUUAAAGGGUGCGUAGGUGGUUUGUUAAGUCAGGUGUGAAAGUUUGCGGCUCAACCAUAAAAUUGCAGUUGAAACUGGCAGUCUUGAGUGCGGUAGAGGUGGGCGGAAUUCGUGGUGUAGCGGUGAAAUGCAUAGAUAUCACGAAGAACUCCGAUUGCGAAGGCAGCUUACUGGGCUGUAACUGACACUGAGGCUCGAAAGUGUGGGGAUCAAACAGGAUUAGAUACCCGUGUAGUC